rnacentral:lncRNA from 1 species
AUGUCCCUUUAUUAUUUUAGCUGCAUGAAGAUUAUUCUGUUCACUGUUAAGUGCUUCUGUGGCCAUUGCAACAUGCUGGAGAGGAGUCCUGGGCUCUUGGGAGACGGCUGCUACUACCAGCCUGAAAGAAAGUGUCUGAUUUUCCCUUCCCUCGAGAGAAAAGGAAAUGACUGCAAUUUUGCAGCUAUAAUGAAGACAGGAAAGAAAAAACAUGUUCACUGUCUGUGUGGUUAUCGAACAAAGAAGUAUGAGGACAUAUGGUGGCAGAGUGUGAAACAGUAUAUUACAAGCCUCCAGAUAAAAGCACUUAAAGAAAGGGCACAUAAGGUACGCAAGAAAUCCCUCCUUCCUGAAUUCAUUUGUGGCAAGCGAGUUUUUGGCUGGAACUUGAGUCUCCUUUGUUCUGCCUAUGCAUCAUGCUGCUCAGGAAACAACUGUGGUGAUCUUAGGAAGUAUCAGCCUAAAAACCUCAAAGAGCAUGGAACACCACUGAUUUUCUGCAUACUGCUGUAUGGGAUAGGGAUGAUAAUCCUUACACUGAAACUGGUGCAACCUGUAAUUCUACUGGCAAGUAUGAGCUAG